UUCCACGCCUGGCAACAGCCAAUCAGUCCUUAAGAAAAUCAAUAUAAAGCAGAUUGAUUAAGCCAGCGACCAUUGUUCAUACCAAGCUGAAAUCAUUACUAGCCAAUAGGAGUAGGCCAAGCAAAUGUCAACCAAUGGUCACUGCCAAGUUGGAAAGUCCCUCACCCUGCUACCACGAUAAAGGCUAAAUGCUGUCCUGAGAGGGUUUAUUAUGAGAAAAACUGGCAAUCAAACUUUUAAUAAUGAACCUUAGAAGAAAGAAAUAAUGAGAAGAAUAUUUCAAGGAUCGAUCGAGGUGUUGCGUCAGGAGAACUGCAGGUGGGAGAAUCAGAGGAGAUUUUUUCAUUCUUUCUUUCUAUUUCAUUGGUAAUUAGAAGCAGGAGGUAGUCACAGCUCAGUUACCCAUUGUGGGUGUGUGCUUAGUUUAGGGAGGAGGUGUCCUAUUAUCUGCAGUGUAGGAAAAUGACACCUAGUACAAAUCUAAAAGUUUUUCAAUUAAGCCAAGUAAUUAGAUUUUGGAAUGUGUCCAGUGAACUUCCACUAAGCACUCUAAAUGAGGAUGCUCAAUGGCAUUUCUUUAAAGGUUGUGUAUAAAUUACAAGUGAAAAUAAAACGUGGUUGCUGCUGUCCAGUGAAUGCAAUUGCUAUAGACGUGCUCCAUGUCCCAAGAAAGAACAAUGCACUUUCCUAAUCUCUCAGAUAACACCAUCUACUGGACUUUAUAAUAGAAUCACACUUUAAAUGCCACAAGAUUGGCUAGCCAUAUGUUUCCACAAUAUAACAGUUCCUUAAAUGGAGUAGUCUUUACCCAUCACAGUAGACUCUCACUGGAUGGCAGAGAGUAAGUCCUUGCUGAAUUACGCCAUUGUUGUGGGAAUCGUGCAUUUAUAAAAAAAUAAAAAUGAAAUAACUCAUUAUUCUUGGCAUUCAAUUUAGUGACCAUAAACAAAUGAAAAGUAUAUAACAGUAAUAUGACUUUAAAAGAAGUUAAGGUUAAUGAUGAGUAGACAGUACAAGAUCUAAGGUAUCUUCCUUUGCAGCACCGAGACUUAAUAGACAUAGGCUGCAUCAGUCCUGAACUAAAAUGAGAGAUAACUUUUAAAUGAUUCUACUUUUGAAUUUAAUUCAACAUCUGGAAUAUCUUAUAGUCACAUUGUCCUUGUAUUUUUUAUUCAUGUCUAUAUCCUCAUAUUUAAUUUUUAUUUACUUUACAAGUGAGUAACAUAGAGCCAAAUAGUUUGUGUGUGUGUGUGUGAAUGUGUAUUUAACUCACCUUUCUAUCCCAGAUAUCUGAUAUUGUGUAGCUCUAUGUAAUCAAAGAGAAUCAAUGUUUGCCAUUAUGAAA